rnacentral:rRNA from 1 species
UACGUAGGGUGCAAGCGUUUAAUCGGAAUCAGCUGGGCGUAAAGGGUGCGUAGGCGGGUCUUUAAGUCAGGGGUGAAAUCCUGGAGCUCAACUCCAGAACUGCCUUUGAUACUGAAGAUCUUGAGUUCGGGAGAGGUGAGUGGAACUGCGAGUGUAGAGGUGAAAUUCGUAGAUAUUCGCAAGAACACCAGUGGCGAAGGCGGACUCACUGGCCCGAUACUGACGCUG